GUCGCAAAGACUUCGGGAGAUGGAACUCUUCCCUUUUUCGUCUCCUCCAACGAUCUGCACAGCUGAAAGGCCCAACUUUGGUUAGCAGGCACCCGCGUGGAUAUGUUCCUUUUGUACACACGUUGGCAGAAGGGAUGCAUCCCUCGACUCUGCUGGUGUGGACCCUGUACAUGCACUGCCAGCUCAUCUCGUGUGUGCGGAGUGGCUUCGGGAUGUGCAGAAACACAUACAGAGCUCAGCACAACAAGGAAAGACUUCCCAAUCACAGCCAAACCUAAAUGGCACCUCUGAGUUGGGCGUGGUGGCUGGGAAUGUGAGAAUAAGUGGACUUGUUUCUGGACAUUCAGGAUGGGACAAGGCACAGGCAGGAAGGGAAGUGUGAGAGCCCAGUGAUGUGGUGUGAGCACAAGUUUGGGAGGAACUGAUUUAGGGGGUUUUGGUGUCUUUUGGUGGGCAAAGUGACUACACUGAAGUGUUUGUGGGCAAGGGCAGAGUAAAGCAGGAUAAGAAUAGUAAAAUCACACCAAACGUAAUUUGUACAGGGAAACUGGUACUUACCCCUUUUAUGGCAUAUUGUGUGUUCCACUUCUUUUCACACAACCUGACAUGCCAGAAAUCACACUAUGUUUUUCCCUGUGAGAAGCUUUCCUCUAUCCAGGCUGCACACCCCAAGUAAAUACAUUGAUUUCCUGGCACCCCAA